GACGAACGCUGGCGGCGUGCUUAACACAUGCAAGUCGAACGAAGUGGCGAACGGGUGAGUAACGCGUAAUCAACCUGCCCUUCAGAGGGGGAUAACAGUUGGAAACGACUGCUAAUACCGCAUACUGAAGGAGGGGAUUGCGUCUGUUUAGCUAGUUGGAGGGGUAACGGCCCACCAAGGCGAUGAUCAGUAGCCGGUCUGAGGUGCAGAACGACCACAUUGGGACUGAGUCCCGGCCCAAGCUCCUAAGGGAGGCAGCAGUGGGGAAUCUUCCGAAAUGGACGAAAGUCUGACGGAGCACCGCCGCGUGAGUGAUGACGGCCUUCGGGUUGUAAAGCUCUGUUAAUCGGGACGCGGUAACGGAAGAGAAAGCCACGGCUAACUACGUGCCAGCAGCCGCGGUAAUAC
rnacentral:rRNA from 1 species